GAUGAAGAACGUAGCGAAAUGCGAUAAGUAGUGUGAAUUGCAGAAUUCCGUGAAUCAUCGAAUCUUUGAACGCACAUUGCGCCUCCUGGUAGUCCGGGAGGCAUGCCUGUUCGAGCGUCACCAAAUCCAACUCAAGCGGUUUUGCGCUUGGUCGUGGCGGAAGAGUCGGUCUGGUUGCCGUCUCCCCUCCGAAGAUCAACGGCGGAAAGUCACUGGCAGUCAGCGUAGUAGUAUCGUUCGCCGAACAUCCAGUGGCAUUCCUGCCGACGUACCCCCACAAUUCUCGUGAUUGACCUCGGAUCAGGUAGGGAUACCCGCUGAACUUAAGCAUAUCAAUAAGCGGAGGA
rnacentral:misc_RNA from 1 species